rnacentral:snRNA from 1 species
UGUAUUCACCACACGGCUCC